UACGGAGGGUGCAAGCGUUAUCCGGAAUCAUUGGGUUUAAAGGGUCCGCAGGCGGACCUAUAAGUCAGUGGUGAAAGCCUACAGCUUAACUGUAGAACUGCCAUUGAUACUGUAAGUCUUGAAUUUGGUCGAAGUGGGCGGAAUGUGACAUGUAGCGGUGAAAUGCAUAGAUAUGUCACAGAACACCGAUAGCGAAGGCAGCUCACUAGGCCAACAUUGACGCUCAUGGACGAAAGCGUGGGGAGCAAACAGG
rnacentral:rRNA from 1 species